rnacentral:rRNA from 1 species
GACGAACCGUGCGAACGUUAUUCGGAAUCACUGGGCUUAAAGCGCGUGUAGGCGGGUCGGCACGUCGGUCGCUGAAAUCCCCCGGCUCAACCGGGAAGGGGCGCCGAUACGGCCGGCCUGGAGGGACGUAGGGGGGGGCUGGAACUUCCGGUGGAGCGGUGAAAUGCGUUGAGAUCGGAAGGAACGCCCGUGGCGAAAGCGAGCCCCUGGACGUCUACUGACGCUGAGACGCGAAAGCCAGGGGAGCGAACGGG